rnacentral:rRNA from 1 species
AUUGAACGCUGGCGGCACGCUUUACACAUGCAAGUCGAACGGUAACAGGCCUUCGGGUGCUGACGAGUGGCGAACGGGUGAGUAAUGCAUCGGAACGUGCCCAAUCGUGGGGGAUAACGUAGCGAAAGUUACGCUAAUACCGCAUAAGCCCUGAGGGGGAAAGUGGGGGACCGCAAGGCCUCACGCGAAUGGAGCGGCCGAUGUCAGAUUAGCUAGUUGGUGGGGUAAAGGCUCACCAAGGCGACGAUCUGUAGCGGGUCUGAGAGGAUGAUCCGCCACACUGGGACUGAGACACGGCCCAGACUCCUACGGGAGGCAGCAGUGGGAAUUUUGGACAAUGGGCGCAAGCCUGAUCCAACCAUGCCGCGUGCGGGACGAAGGCCUUCGGUUGUAACCGCUUCAGCCGGAAGAAAUCGCCGUUUUAAUACAGACGGUGGAUGACGGUACCGGAAGAAGAAGC